rnacentral:lncRNA from 1 species
GAUGAAUCUGCAAGAGAAUGAAGAGAAUUGAUCCAGAUCAUGGUGAGUAAUAUAUAUCUUCAACCUUUAGCAAUGGGAAUUGGUUUUAUCAAGUUUGUGGCAAUGAUGUUGUGUUCUUGAUUGUCUUGAUGAGAAACACAAUAUUGCUCUAUCAUCUCUAGAGAUUAUUCAUUCCAAAUUAUAGUAACAAUAUAUGUGAAUGAUAGUGCUUUUUUGUUUUUGUUUUUGUUUUUGUAGAUGUAAUUAUGUACCUUUAAUUAGUCUCAGAAGCAAUUUUAGACUAACGAUUGAGUUUCAG